UACGUAGGGUGCGAGCGUUGUCCGGAAUUACUGGGCGUAAAGAGCUCGUAGGCGGUUCGUCGCGUCGGCUGUGAAAACCCGGAGCUCAACUCCGGGCCUGCAGUCGAUACGGGCGGACUUGAGUGUUGCAGGGGAGACUGGAAUUCCUGGUGUAGCGGUGAAAUGCGCAGAUAUCAGGAGGAACACCGGUGGCGAAGGCGCCACUCUGGGCCGAAACUGACGCUGAGGAGCGAAAGCGUGGGUAGCAAACAGG
rnacentral:rRNA from 1 species